rfam:Schistosoma haematobium scaffold15_43, whole genome shotgun sequence.
AUCCAACUGACGAGUCCUAAAUAGGAUGAAAUACGUGUCCUGGU